rnacentral:misc_RNA from 1 species
AACGCAAAUUGCACUCUCUUCGGAGAGUAUGCCUGUUUGAGGGUUAGCCUAAAAAAAAUCGAUAUAGUUGCUGUUUGGCGGUAACCAUUCGUCGGAAAUGGGUCAUCUUAACCAUUUUGGUUUAAGCGACUUAAAAUUUUUUUAUGAUUCCACGAACGUUUCUAAGAUUAUAUAAUCUUACACGUUUUAAGGUAUCGAUUUUAUUUAUUAGACGUGACCGUCACAUCGGACAGCGUCCAUAAUAUUUCGUUAACUGACCUCAGAUAGGUAAGAGUACCCGCUGAACUUAA